GAUUAAGUUAUUAAGGGCGCACGGUGGAUGCCUUGGCACUAGAAGCCGAUGAAGGACGUUACUAACGACGAUAUGCUUUGGGGAGCUGUAAGUAAGCUUUGAUCCAGAGAUUUCCGAAUGGGGAAACCCAGCAUGAGUUAUGUCAUGUUAUCGAUAUGUGAAUAC
rnacentral:rRNA from 1 species